CUACUGCCUCAGCGAACACUUCCCCUCCCACUAGGCAGGAUUACUGUAUUCAGUAACAGUGUUUACACUGGAAUCUGUCUCACCUCCUACAGUUUCAACACAGUCUGUAGUGCCACAUAAGAAUAGCAAAUGAAUAAACAUGCCAUUUUCUCAACUCGCCUUCCCCUGAGGAGUUCUAAGCUUGGCAACACAUGGGAUAUUUACUAGAUCUAUGGACUCUGGCCUGCACUUCAUCAAGGCUACCCUUACAUGACCAGCUUUCUUCUGCCCAACAUCUUCCACCAUGCUCUUGUACUUUGGAACCAGUCAAGCAAAGACCGUAAUAUGAGGCACAAUAAACCUCUCCUCCUUUAAGUAGUGGAAAUCAGUGGAGCUAGAAGAAUGUGAAGUCUGUGUCGCUCUGAAGGUAACCUCAACACAGCUAAAUCCUGAGGGGACUGAGUCAGUUACCCACACUAAGACCUACAAAAGAAAAGGUAUGCUCAUUUCCAGGUGUAAGCAUCAUUUACUUCAAGCUCUGCUGUUCUAAUAGGUAUCUUUCAACCAAAAACUUUACCAGGUUCACAGGGGAGCAAGGAGUACCAAAUAGUAA